rnacentral:rRNA from 1 species
AGAACGAACGCUGGCGGCAGGCUUAACACAUGCAAGUCGAACGGGUGUAGCAAUACACCAGUGGCAGACGGGUGAGUAACACGUGGGAACCUUCCUCGUAGUACGGAACAACUCAGGGAAACUUGUGCUAAAUACCGUAUACGUCCGAGAGGAGAAAGAUUUAUCGCUAUGAGACGGGCCCGCGUCGGAUUAGGUAGUUGGUGGGGUAACGGCCUACCAAGCCUACGAUCCGUAGCUGAUCUGAGAGGAUGAUCAGCCACACUGGGACUGAGACACGGCCCAGACUCCUACGGGAGACAGCAGUGGGGAAUCUUGGACAAUGGGCGCAAGCCUGAUCCAGCCAUGCCGCGUGAGUGAAGAAGGCCUUAGGGUUGUAAAGCUCUUUUGGCAGGGACGAUAAUGACGGUACCUGCAGAAUAAGCCCGGCAAACUUCGUGCCAGCAGCCGC